rnacentral:rRNA from 1 species
AUUGAACGCUGGCGGCAGGCCUAACACAUGCAAGUCGAGCGAGCGGCGGACGGGUGAGUAAUGUAUGGGGACUGCCCGAUCGAGGGGGAUACCUACUGGAAACGGUACCUAAUACCGACUACUAUCGGAUAACCCAUAGGGGAUUAGCUGGUAGGUGAGGUAAUGGCUCACCUAGGCGACAAUCCCUAGCUGGUCUGAGAGGAUGAUCAGCCACACUGGGACUGAGACACGGCCCAGACGCCUACGGAGGCAGCAGGGGGGAAUAUUGCACAAUGGGCGCAAGCCUGAUACAGCCAUGCCGCGUGUAUGAAGAAGGCCCUAGGGUUGUAAAGUACUUGCAGUCGGGAGGCGUUACCGACAGAAGAAGCACCGGCUAACUCCGUGCCAGCAGCCGCGGUAAUAC